rnacentral:rRNA from 1 species
AUUGAACGCUGGCGGCAGGCUUAACACAUGCAAGUCGAGCGGGGUGAUGGUGCUUGCACUAUCACUUAGCGGCGGACGGGUGAGUAAUGCUUAGGAAUCUGCCUAUUAGUGGGGGACAACAUCUCGAAAGGGAUGCUAAUACCGCAUACGUCCUACGGGAGAAAGCAGGGGAUCACUUGUGACCUUGCGCUAAUAGAUGAGCCUAAGUCGGAUUAGCUAGUUGGUGGGGUAAAGGCUCACCUAGGCGACGACCAGUGGCGGGUCUGAGAGGACGUCCGGCCACACUGGGACUGAGACACGGCCCAGACUCCUACGGGAGGCAGCAGUGGGGAAUUUUGGACAAUGGGCGCAAGCCUGAUCCAGCCAUGCCGCGUGCAGGAUGAAGGCCUUCGGGUUGUAAACUGCUUUUGUACGGAACGAAAAGGCUCUGGAUAAUACCUGGGGCUCAUGACGGUACCGUAAGAAUAAGCACCGGCUAACUACGUGCCAGCCGCCGCAGUAA